GGCUGUCGUCUCUUCACGACGGAUCGUCCGGCACGUACCUGCCGGUAAGAGAGGAAAAAA
rnacentral:ncRNA from 1 species